GUGGGGUCCCAAAGAGUGGGACACGAUGGAGCGACUGAACAACGCCCCAGGGCGUGUGGACCUGGCCAGUCCCCGGUUGGGAAGCUAAGAUCUCACACACUGUGACGUGGCCAAAAGAAAAGUGCAGGCAAAUGGGCUUGUCUGAACAUCUGUGGGCUUCCCAGGUGGUGCUAGUGGUAAAGAACCCGCCUGCCAGUUCAGGAGACACAAGAGAUGC